rnacentral:rRNA from 1 species
GGGUUGUGAGGUUAAGCGAACAAGCGUACACGGUGGAUGCCCUGGCAGUCAGAGGCGAUGAAGGACGUGCUAAUCUGCGAAAAGCGCCGGUAAGGUGAUAUGAACCGUUAUAACCGGCGAUGUCCGAAUGGGGAAACCCGGUGCACUUCGGUGCAUCAUCGUUAGCUGAAUACAUAGGCUAACGAGGCGAACCGGGGGAACUGAAACAUCUAAGUACCCCGAGGAAAAGAAAUCAACCGAGAUUCCCCCAGUAGCGGCGAGCGAACGGGGAACAGCCCAGAGCCUGAAUCAGCUUGUGUGUCAGUGGAACGGUCUGGAAAGGCCGGCGAUACAGGGUGACAGCCCCGUACACGAAGGCACACAGGCUGUGAGCUCGAUGAGUAGGGCGGGACACGUGAUAUCCUGUCUGAAGAUGGGGGGACCAUCCUCCAAGGCUAAAUACUCCUGACUGACCGAUAGUGAACCAGUACCGUGAGGGAAAGGCGAAAAGAACCCCGGCGAGGGGAGUGAAACAGAACCUGAAACCGUGUACGUACAAGCAGUGGGAGCCUUCGUAAGAGGGUGACUGCGUACCUUUUGUAUAAUGGGUCAGCGACUUAUAUUCUGUAGCAAGGUUAACCGUAUAGGGGAGCCGAAGGGAAACCGAGUCUUAACCGGGCGUUAAGUUGCAGGGUAUAGACCCGAAACCCGGUGAUCUAGCCAUGGGCAGGUUGAAGGUUGGGUAACACUAACUGGAGGACCGAACCGACUAAUGUUGAAAAAUUAGCGGAUGACCUGUGGCUGGGGGUGAAAGGCCAAUCAAACCGGGAGAUAGCUGGUUCUCCCCGAAAGCUAUUUAGGUAGCGCCUCGUGAACUCAUCUCCGGGGGUAGAGCACUGUUUCGGCUAGGGGGCCAUCCCGGCUUACCAACCCGAUGCAAACUGCGAAUACCGGAGAAUGUUAUCACGGGAGACACACGGCGGGUGCUAACGUCCGUCGUGAAGAGGGAAACAACCCAGACCGCCAGCUAAGGUCCCAAAGUCAUGGUUAAGUGGGAAACGAUGUGGGAAGGCCCAGACAGCCAGGAUGUUGGCUUAGAAGCAGCCAUCAUUUAAAGAAAGCGUAAUAGCUCACUGGUCGAGUCGGCCUGCGCGGAAGAUGUAACGGGGCUAAACCAUGCACCGAAGCUGCGGCAGCGACGCUUAUGCGUUGUUGGGUAGGGGAGCGUUCUGUAAGCCUGCGAAGGUGUGCUGUGAGGCAUGCUGGAGGUAUCAGAAGUGCGAAUGCUGACAUAAGUAACGAUAAAGCGGGUGAAAAGCCCGCUCGCCGGAAGACCAAGGGUUCCUGUCCAACGUUAAUCGGGGCAGGGUGAGUCGACCCCUAAGGCGAGGCCGAAAGGCGUAGUCGAUGGGAAACAGGUUAAUAUUCCUGUACUUGGUGUUACUGCGAAGGGGGGACGGAGAAGGCUAUGUCGGCCGGGCGACGGUUGUCCCGGUUUAAGCGUGUAGGCUGACUUUCCAGGCAAAUCCGGAAGGUUAAGGCUGAGGCGUGAUGACGAGGCACUACGGUGCUGAAGUGACAAAUGCCCUGCUUCCAGGAAAAGCCUCUAAGCAUCAGGUAACAUCAAAUCGUACCCCAAACCGACACAGGUGGUCAGGUAGAGAAUACCAAGGCGCUUGAGAGAACUCGGGUGAAGGAACUAGGCAAAAUGGUGCCGUAACUUCGGGAGAAGGCACGCUGACAUGUAGGUGAAGCCCCUGCGGGUGGAGCUGAAGUCAGUCGAAGAUACCAGCUGGCUGCAACUGUUUAUUAAAAACACAGCACUGUGCAAACACGAAAGUGGACGUAUACGGUGUGACGCCUGCCCGGUGCCGGAAGGUUAAUUGAUGGGGUUAUCGCAAGAGAAGCUCCUGAUCGAAGCCCCGGUAAACGGCGGCCGUAACUAUAACGGUCCUAAGGUAGCGAAAUUCCUUGUCGGGUAAGUUCCGACCUGCACGAAUGGCGUAAUGAUGGCCAGGCUGUCUCCACCCGAGACUCAGUGAAAUUGAACUCGCUGUGAAGAUGCAGUGUACCCGCGGCAAGACGGAAAGACCCCGUGAACCUUUACUACAGCUUGACACUGAACAUUGAGCCUUGAUGUGUAGGAUAGGUGGGAGGCUUUGAAGCGUGGACGCCAGUCUGCGUGGAGCCGACCUUGAAAUACCACCCUUUAAUGUUUGAUGUUCUAACCUGGCGCCAUAAUCUGGCGUGGGGACAGUGUCUGGUGGGUAGUUUGACUGGGGCGGUCUCCUCCCAAAGUGUAACGGAGGAGCACGAAGGUCAGCUAAUCCUGGUCGGACAUCAGGAGGUUAGUGCAAUGGCAUAAGCUGGCUUGACUGCGAGAGUGACGGCUCGAGCAGGUGCGAAAGCAGGUCAUAGUGAUCCGGUGGUUCUGUAUGGAAGGGCCAUCGCUCAACGGAUAAAAGGUACUCCGGGGAUAACAGGCUGAUACCGCCCAAGAGUUCAUAUCGACGGCGGUGUUUGGCACCUCGAUGUCGGCUCAUCACAUCCUGGGGCUGAAGUAGGUCCCAAGGGUAUGGCUGUUCGCCAUUUAAAGUGGUACGCGAGCUGGGUUUAGAACGUCGUGAGACAGUUCGGUCCCUAUCUGCCGUGGGCGCUGGAGAAUUGAGGGGGGCUGCUCCCAGUACGAGAGGACCGGAGUGGACGCAUCACUGGUGUUCGGGUUGUCAUGCCAAUGGCACUGCCCGGUAGCUAAAUGCGGAAGAGAUAAGUGCUGAAAGCAUCUAAGCACGAAACUUGCCCCGAGAUGAGUUCUCCCUGACUCCUUGAGAGUCCUGAAGGAACGUUGAAGACGACGACGUUGAUAGGCCGGGUGUGUAAGCGCAGCGAUGCGUUGAGCUAACCGGUACUAAUGAACCGUGAGGCUUAACCUUACAACGCCAAAGAAGU